AUUGAACGCUGGCGGCAUGCCUUACACAUGCAAGUCGAACGGCAGCACGGGUGCUUGCACCUGGUGGCGAGUGGCGAACGGGUGAGUAAUACAUCGGAACAUGUCCUGUAGUGGGGGAUAGCCCGGCGAAAGCCGGAUUAAUACCGCAUACGAUCUACGGAUGAAAGCGGGGGACCUUCGGGCCUCGCGCUAUAGGGUUGGCCGAUGGCUGAUUAGCUAGUUGGUGGGGUAAAGGCCUACCAAGGCGACGAUCAGUAGCUGGUCUGAGAGGACGACCAGCCACACUGGGACUGAGACACGGCCCAGACUCCUACGGGCGGCAGCAGUGGGGAAUUUUGGACAAUGGGCGAAAGCCUGAUCCAGCAAUGCCGCGUGUGUGAAGAAGGCCUUCGGGUUGUAAAGCACUUUUGUCCGGAAAGAAAUCCUUGGCCCUAAUACGGUCGGGGGAUGACGGUACCGGAAGAAUAAGCACCGGCUAACUACGUG
rnacentral:rRNA from 1 species